UUAAAACAUAUGUCCCCCAUAUAUAUCUAUAUUUCUCGUACACUGCAAAUUUACUUUCUAACAUAACUCAGGUGAUAAAUUGAUUUGACAGCUAACGCUUACCAACACAUGUAUGACAUUCAAUACAACUGUAAUUGCCCCAACUAAAUCCACAAUAGUGGUUAUUAAAGUGAAGAACUUACUGACUCUUCCCGACGAUUGACUCUCGAAGAUAACUAAGAACAUGGCUGACUAAUGUUGGUCUGACCUUGGUCCAUUGAUACGAUCAAGCACUCGUGGAAGAGACAUUGUCUACUUAUAAGUGUGCAUUUUACAUGUUUUGAGCAUCCAUUUGUUAUCAUUAUUGCAUCAUAUCACCACUGUUUUAUACCAUUUCUCAUCAUUUGUCAUCACUUUGCAUGUUUAGGAUAGUUUUGCAUGCAUAUUGUAUAUUUGUGUUGAUUUCAGGUGAUUUGGAGCUGUUAACGAGCUAAUUGGAAGAAGCGGACCUGAUCAUGUCAAACCACUCGACCCCCAGGUCGAGCAGAUGCUCCACGACAUCAAAGGACCACUUGACCCCCUGGUCGAGUAGAAGACUUCACCACUCGACUACCUGGCCGAGUACCACCAUGAGAGUCACUCGAUCACUUCACUCGAUCACACCACUCUACCAUGAAGUCGAGUAUCACCAUCACCAUCACUCGAUUACAUACUCGAUUGCCAGCUAAUCACUCGACCUCUCACUCGACCACCUGGGUCGAGUACUGUUCUUAAUCCGUCCCAAUACUGCGUCGUUUUGAGUAUUAGGGUUUCAGAAUAUCUCGCUAUAAGUAGCAUGUACUUUACAUUUUCGUAGGGCUAAGUUUUAUUUUCCGCAGACACUGUGUUCUUGACAUUUUGUAAUCUGGAUUUCUCUUAAUCAAUUCAGUAUUCAGCAUUUUGUUCUUGAUUUCGUUUACUGUUGUUCAUCAUGUUAUCACCUUGCUAUUACUCUGUUGUUAUCAUGUUUUCAUUCUAUUCAACGUGUAUGUUCUCUGCAAUGAUGUCUGAGUAGUGAAUAAGUUUCUGAGGAUGGGUUAGAGUAGUUUAGAAUUCUCAGUAUGCUAGGUGGUUGAGUUUGAUUGAUAUAUCCCUUCUGGAUUAGUUGUUCUUAAUGCAUAUUGCUUUCUGAUCAACUGGAAUUGGAGCCCAGACAUUUCUGCGCCCAAAAGGUGUUCGAUGAAAUGUUUGAACCACUAAUUCUAGAGAUUCGUGGCUCUGUACCAAGGUAUUGGUUGCAGGGAGCGUUUUGGCUUUAACUUGUUGAUUCGUAAGCCUGUUAGGUUAGCUCUCGUCAAUGGUGAUUAAGUCUGGGACUAAGUUAACUUGAGAGUCUCUGUUGCGGUGACACUUAGAUUUGGUUUUUGUUGUCUAGGGAUAAUUUAUUGAGCAUGUCAAUCACCUGUAAACUGAGGAAACAAACCUACUCAAUUACCCCAUCCUCGUGAAUUCUUUAUGUGAUUGAUUUCUUUGUUACGCUACUGUUGUUUACUGCAUCUUGUCAUCUGUUGCUUAGUUUCUACAAUUCUUUCCUGUUACUCGACCUGAUACUCGACCACCCAGUUGUCUAGCAACAGACUGUGCAGUCGAGUAUCUUUGUUUCGGUUACUGCAUGUUACUCGACCAGUCACUCGACCACCCCAGUGCUCUGCAACGAGUUGUGUUGGUCGAGUGUUUUACUGUAUCCGCUUGAUUUUCUGUUUUCUGCAUGUUCACUUAGGACUGCUAGAACACACCAAAACCUGUUAUUGCUUGGCUUGACUUAGUGACUUCUGAUCACAUCUUGAUUGUUAGCAUCACAUCCAUUUGGAUUGACAACCUAAAAUACUACAAUGACAUGAUUGAUGUUUUAGGAUAAUUGAGUAAAAACCUAUUAUCAAUUUGGCGCUGUUGCCGAUUAGGUGUUUGUUUGUUACAUUUAAGAUUUCAAACUUGCUUAGAUCAAGUUCUUUUUCAAUUUUCAGUUCAGUUACUGACUGUGUAUUUUUGUUGUUGUCUUUUUGAUCCAGGUACACCUCUGCUGUAUGCAAACUCGAUCACCAGAGAACCAGAACCUCUUUUUCAACAAUAACAUCGACCACAUGGCUUGCGAAUUCAGAGAAAGAAGAAACACAGUCCACCUUUUACCCCAACAACCACUCGAAAUGGCUGACGAACAGAAUCAACAGAAUGGUCCUGCCAACAUUGGUGAUGUAGAUGCACCAUCGUCAGAGGAAAGGAAUUGCACCUCCUGCUAUCCAGAACAAUAACUUCGAGAUUAAGAGUGGUCUCAUCUCGAUGAUUCAGGGAAACAAAUUCCAUGGUCUACCAAUGGAGGAUCCACUCGACCACCUUGAUGAAUUCGAUAGGCUCUGCAACCUAACAAAAAUCAAUGGUGUAAGUGAAGACGGAUUCAAGCUCUGUUUAUUUCCAUUCUCGUUGGGCGACAAAGCACACAUCUGAGAGAAGAAUCUGCCCCAUGACUCCAUCACCACCUGGGAUGAUUGCAAGAAGGCUUUUCUAGCAAAGUUUUUCUCCAAUGUCAGAACUGCAAGACUCAGAAAUGAGAUCUCUGGCUUUUCACAGAAGACUGGUGAAAGCUUCUGUGAAGCAUGAGAGCGUUUCAAGGGUUACACCAACCAAUGCCCUCAUCAUGGCUUCAAGAAAGCCUCUCUGCUCAGUACUUUAUAUACAUG
rnacentral:sRNA from 1 species